UACGAAGGGUGCAAGCGUUACUCGGAAUUACUGGGCGUAAAGCGUGCGUAGGCGGUUUGUUAAGUCUGUCGUGAAAGCCCCGGGCUCAACCUGGGAAUGGCGUUGGAUACUGGCGAGCUAGAGUACGGUAGAGGAGAGUGGAAUUCCCGGUGUAGCAGUGAAAUGCGUAGAGAUCGGGAGGAACAUCAGUUGCGAAGGCGGCUCUCUGGACCAGUACUGACGCUGAGGCACGAAAGCGUGGGGAGCAAACAGG
rnacentral:rRNA from 1 species